GGGCGCCGGCUGAGCCAGCGGCUCUUGGGAGGCUGCGUCCGCGCGCCGGCGAGGCGAGGCGGCCGGGCCCUGCGCGUCAGGCCUGAGACCUGGGAGGAAGCUGGAGAAAAGAUGCCCUCUGAAUCUUUCUGUUUGGCUGCCCAGGCUCGCCUCGACUCCAAAUGGUUGAAAACAGAUAUACAGGUAUUGAGUGUUGGUGGAUAUGAGAGUCCAGUGUUUAGAGCUGUGUUGCGUGGCUGGGCGCAGUGGCUCACGCCUGUAAUCCCGGCAGUUUGGGAGGCCGAGGCGGGUGGAUGCCCUGAGGUCAGGAGUUGGAGACCAGUCUGACCAACAUGGUGAAACCCCGUCUCUACUAAAAAUACAAAAUUAGCCAGACGUGGUGGUGUAUGCCUGUAAUCCCAGCCACUCGGGAGGCUGAGGCAGGAGAAUCGCUUGAACCCGGGAGGUGGAGGUUGCAAUGGGUCAAGAUUGUGCCGUUGCACUCCAGCCUGGACAAUGAGAGCUUUUUUUUCAAAAAAAAAAAAAAAAGCUGUUGUGGAUGAUGGGAUUGUUAUUCAUAGUGUAAUGUUACAUAAGACAGAGUACAGAGAAUUGGGUCAAGAAUUGGUGUAGUUACUCUUUGGGUUUGUUUCUCUUUAAACAUUUCCUUUGAUUUAGCUAUAAUGAUCUGUUUUGUCAUUUUAAGUGGAUGGGAGACGUGAGAGAUGAGUACUUUCAUAUUUCUGAAAUCCUGAGAUUCAGGCAAAGUUUUAAUAGUCGUUUUUAUAUUAGUGUUUAUGUAUUUUGAGAAACUUUUUGGAGUAAAGGACUUUACGUAAUGAAGUUUUUUUCUUAAUAAUUGUAAUUUAAUAACUGCUAAACAUGAGUUCUAGUGUCUUGAUCUAAAACCAGUUUAAUGCUGAAUUGAGUUCCUAUGAUGGGUUGGGCAGAUAAACAUACAGUGAAGCACCA
rnacentral:lncRNA from 1 species